rnacentral:rRNA from 1 species
GAUCCUGGCUCAGGAUGAACGCUAGCGACAGGCUUAACACAUGCAAGUCGAGGGGCAGCGGGGAGUAGCAAUACUUCGCCGGCGACCGGCGCACGGGUGAGUAACACGUGUGCAACCAACCCCGUACCGGGAGAUAACCCGCGGAAACGUGGACUAGCAUCCCAUAAUACUGGAGGAUCGCAUGAUCUUUCAUUUAAAAUUCCGGUGGUACGGGACGGGCACGCGCGACAUUAGGUAGUUGGCGGGGUAACGGCCCACCAAG